UCCUUACACAACCAAUCCCAGGCUUUAUAUAUCACCUGUAGGGAUGAGUCUCUCAGGAGAGAUCAAAACAGCCCUUGACAGUGCAGGUGUGUUGGUGUUUUUGAGCAGGCGUGUGUGUUCUUCGGACACAGGAGAGAGCUUCCACCGCCGCACUCAGCCCAGUGGAGGACACCAAGGCCAGAGUGAGAGAAGGAGAGAGAAGGGACAUAGAGCCAGGUUGCUAAAAAAGAAACUCCUCAGGGUUGUUGGAGAGUUGAUCUGGUUUCUACUGGGAAAAGGUUCUAGAGACCACUAAGAUGUUUUUCCGCAUCCCUCGACUGACCCCUGGAUACAUCAGAUACUUGCAGACUCAAGCUGCCCAGACCGUGCUGCAGAGCCGGGAAGGCCCCAUGAUGUCGAGGGUGGCCAUGCUGCUAGGGCUGAUGGGAGUUGGGAUGUCUGGGUACAGCUCACGACAGCUCACCCUGCACUGCAAGCCCUCCGCUAACCUGCUGAGAUGAGGCAAGACACAACACCUCUGACCUUCCACCCUGAAGACGACAACAUGGAUAAGAUUGAUCACUGGAGCAUAUCCAAUACCCCUGGAUUCCACUUACACUACAAGAAUAAUUAGUCUCUGUUUCCUAAAACGGUUUUGUUUUAGUUGAGUUUUUGUUUGUUACCCUUGCACCUUUGAUUUCCCCCAUUGUGGUUGAAGUUUGGGACGAACCAAGUUCAGAUUCUUAUUCUGAAAAGUUUAACAUUGAAGAUCGAUACUUUAAGGUUCCACACGCGCAGUUAUGACCAUAUAAGAUUAUCCCUCCAUUUAAAAAAAUCAAUAUUCUUUUAAACUACCUCUCCCUUUCAAACCAGUUAAAGUGUUAUUCACCCAACAUACAUCAAUCCAUUCUUAUUGAGCUCUGUUCUUGAGCUGGUAACAUCCUCAACUUUAACCACCCAUUUUCUUUUUGUAAUUCUGUGCCUUAAAGGGAGCGAUCCAUUAAAAUCAGUUUAAGACACCAAAUGGUGUUACCUCACGCUAACCCAAGAAGACCAAAACCCAAGAAAUAAAGACAUCGCAAUGGAGAAAUAUUAAAUAUGUCAAAUAUUUUUCAAAACCUGACGAAAUUCCCCAGUCCGCCUGUUUAUUGCCAUUCUCUUGUCUGUGUUUGGCAAGGCAUGUACACAGAGAUUAGCACCUCUGUUUUAGGCUUAUCCAGUGUUUUCCUGAAUAAUGUCACGAGUGGCAGGAAAGGAGAGCGAAAUCAAAAUGGUAGCAUCUUGGAACUCAGAGAAUCCAGUUGGUCAUAGGGAUUAUAAAAAUGUUUUUUUGUCUGUUAUCAUCAAUGCUCUUGAUUCUGGAGACAAGAUUCCUUCAUUUGGUACUUGCUUUACUUUCUUUGUCUGCUAUGUUUGCAUGCAAAGAAAUACAGGAAAAAUCCUUUGACCAAGAUUCAAAAUGUACUCAACCAACAUGCUUCCAAUUGUAUUUUCUAAUGUCUUUUUUUAUUUGGUCACGCCCAACUUUUUUCCAUUGAACCUUUUUGAUUUUGCACAGUGAAAAGAUUGAUAUUUUUACAUACAUUCUUUUCACCAAAACACUCUGACACUUUGCACUUUUUUAAUAAUGUAUGUGUGUGUACAUAAUAUGUACAUAAUGUACAUAUCUGAAUUAUUGAAGCUUGAAGAGAUUAGUAGAUGGUUAAGUGACAUGGAAAGUGACGCCAGAUUGGUUUGAGAACUAGUCUGGGUGGAAUCCAGCUGGAUUCACACACGGCACCACAGUUUGGUAUCAGGCAUCCAGGACAGCCACCCUGGAUGGACCUCACUGGACGAAUGCCACCGUAUGUGUGAAUUCACCGAGAUUCCUCCAAGUUGUCCUCCAUGUUUGUCAGAAUUGGGAUGUUUAGAUUAAUGGCCAUAUGGUCUCUUAACAUAGCUAGCAUGAAAUACUAUUUAUAUUUCCUUUAGAUUCAGAACAUGCAGUACACACUUUGUAAUAAGGGAAAUAACUUUAACACGACAGCAUAGGAAUGUAUCACCGACACAAUGAAUGUUUCUUAGUGGUAUACUGUAAUUGUAAACAUGAACGUACUGUAGGUUACUGUGUCAUAACCAUGGGAUCCCACUAGUCUGGUUUAGAGGAAACAGUGGAUGUAACCAGACCUUAGAUUUACACUGGAUUCUCCAAUAGAACAGAUUACCAUGCCAUUGGUAGUUGUCCAGUGAUCCAGUGGUCUUCCGGUGAUCCAGUAGUCUUCUGGUGAUCCAGUAGUCUUCCGGUGAUCCAGUACUCUUUCGGUGAUCCAGUGGUCUUCCGGUGAUACAGUGGUCUUCCAGUGAUCCAGUGGUCUUCCGGUGAUCCAGUGGUCUUCCAGUGAUCCAAUUAGGAGAAGUGUCUCUUUUAUGUCCAGCUUCACCAGUAUAAAGGGUUAGUGACCCUAAAUAGUGACCCUAAAUAGUGACCCUAAAUAGAGACCCUGCUAUAGAGACCCAGACCAGUGAGAGGAACAUAGUAGGAGUUCUGAAACCCCUAGUUUAUCUUAGUCAAUGUAAUGUUACAUGAACUUGGUGAAGAACUGACAAGAAUUCAAUUCGGAACAUGAUUGAUAUUGAAAGCUGCAAUGGGGGAGUGAUGUUAUCUCUAUACACAGUGUAAAGGGUCAUUGCUGUUUAAUAGUUAUAGUACACUACAGUGCUGUUUGUUUUACACGGGUACAUUUCAUACCAAAAGGCUUACAAUAGGCCUAUCUUUGUAUUGUUGCUAAAUGUAACAAUGUUGUUUAGGAAUGCCAUAGUGAAUUGAAGAAUUAUGACUGCUUCACAAAGCACCCUUGAAUAUCUAUUCAUGUUUAUUGUUAUGAUACAGCAUGUAUCAAUACUAUGAAUAAAAACCUAUAAACGGA